GCCUUGGUGAUAUAGUGGUCAAAACGACCGCCUAGUAAUCAGGAGGGCAUGGGUUCAAUCCCAACCGAGGCA
rnacentral:tRNA from 1 species